UAAGGCCAUAGAGUAAGUGCAAAUGUAAACCAACAUUAUUUUCCUUUCAUCCUGCAGACAGUAUUUCAAAAUGCGCCGGAACCGACUUGGAAAGGAGGACUGGGUUAACAUCAAGUGGCAGCCGGGCCAGAUAACCCACAGCUGCCAGAAAGAUGGCAGCAGUUGUGGGAUCUUUGUCAUGCAGAUGGCCAAGAUGACGGUGAUGGAACUUCCAAAGAUUCCGCAGCAUUUUCGCAUCGACUCAUCUAAACAAUCUAUUGAAAAGCUAAGAAGAAAGAUGGCUGAAGACAUUCUGAAACAAUCAGUUUCAAAGGAUGAGCUCUGUUCCUUCUGUGGAAUUGAGGACCUGCCCAAAACUGCGGUUGAUGCUGUUUGG